CUGCUCACAUGGGUCCCAGGAAAAUACAAAAGCACUACUGUUUAACAGGAAAGUUACUAUCCAGAAAUUAACCCACAAAGGUGGGAAGAGUAUUUACCCGCUAAUCUCUUUAUUCCCUCGCCUGACAAAAUAUCUGCAUUCCUGGGCGGCCUCAAGAAAUGAACUACAGACAUCUAUUCCCUUUGUGAUACCUCCUUGGAAUCAAAGUGUGGAGUGUAACAAUGUGCCUCCACACACUCACACUAGUUGAUGCUUCAUCUUGGUGAAAUCAAGUUUUUGGAAUUACCUUUCCUAAGAUCAUUCUAUUCACAGAGAAGGAGCUUAAUCUUUAAAAUGUGUAUGCUGGCCGGGCG
rnacentral:lncRNA from 1 species